rnacentral:rRNA from 1 species
UACGGAGGUGGCGAGCGUUUGUCCGAAGUUACUGGGCGUAAAGCGCGCGUAGGCGGGCCGUUAAGUGGGAGGUGAAAGGCUGGGGGCUCAACCCCAUGCAGUGCCUCCCAUACUGGCGGUCUUGAGGGCGGUAGGGAGAAGUGGAAUGGCUGGUGUAGCGGUGAAAUGCGUAGAUAUCAGGAGGAACACCGGUGGCGAAGGCGGGUCUCUGGGCCGUAACUGACGCUGAGGAGCGAAAGCGUGGGGAGCGAACAGG